rnacentral:tRNA from 1 species
GGAAAGAUGGCCGAGUGGCUUAAGGCGCACGCUUGGAAAGCGUGUGUAGGUUUUAUGGCCUACCGAGGGUUCGAAUCCCUCUCUUUCCGCCA